rnacentral:rRNA from 1 species
AUUGAACGCUGGCGGCAGGCUUAACACAUGCAAGUCGAGCGGGGUGAUGGUGCUUGCACUAUCACUUAGCGGCGGACGGGUGGGUAAUGCUUAGGAAUCUGCCUAUUAGUGGGGGACAACAUCUCGAAAGGGAUGCUAAUACCGCAUACGUCCUACGGGAGAAAGCAGGGGAUCACUUGUGACCUUGCGCUAAUAGAUGAGCCUAAGUCGGAUUAGCUAGUUGGUGGGGUAAAGGCCUACCAAGGCGACGAUCUGUAGCGGGUCUGAGAGGAUGAUCCGCCACACUGGGACUGAGACACGGCCCAGACUCCUACGGGUGGCAGCAGUGGGGAAUAUUGGACAAUGGGGGGAACCCUGACCCAGCCAUGCCGCGUGUGUGAAGAAGGCCUUAUGGUUGUAAAGCACUUUAAGCGAGGAGGAGGCUCUUUUGGUUAAUACCCAAGAUGAGUGGACGUUACUCGCAGAAUAAGCACCGGCUAACUCUGUGCCAGCCGCCGCAGUAA